rnacentral:rRNA from 1 species
AUGACUGGGGAGGUGAACAACUACUAUUUGCUUCCCGAAGAACCCGUCCCCUUGCGCACCUUGCAUCACAAGGAUAGCAUCGCCAAGGUGAUGUUUCUCAUUGCCGUGGCUAAACCAAGAUACUGCGAAGGUGGUGAGGUCACGUUUGAUGGAAAGCUCGGCAUCUGGGCUUUUGUCACAGAGUCUCCUGCUCAAAGAACGAGUGAAAAUAGAGAUAAAGGGACGCUCAAGCUCAAAUCAUUGAAAGUCACACGAGAUGUAAUGAGGUAUUACAUGUGUGAGAAACUUAUUCCUGCGAUCCAAGAGCGCUGGCCAGGCGGAGAUGGAGGACAGACAAUCUAUAUCCAACAAGAUAAUGCCACACCACAUAUUCUUCCCGAUGACCCGGUUAUCCGACAAGUCAUAGAACAGACUGAUUUGGAUAUUAAGUUGCUUCAACAUCCUCCAAACAGUCCCGACAUGAAUAUUCUUGAUCUCUGCAUAUUCAGGUCUCUCCAGUCCCACACCGAUAGCAGAGCACCUCAAAGCAUCAGGGAACUAAUAGAAGGUGUGGAGGAGGAAUAUCGAAACUACCCGGUUGAUAAGCUAGCUAGAAGCUUCGUGACGCUGCAGUCAUGCAUCCGAGAGGUAAUGAGAAAGAAAGGAGCGAUAGACUACUCGAUCCCUCACAUGAGCAAGGAACACCGGCAGGUAGAAGGACGGCUUCCUAUAGCUCUACCUAUCGAUUGUGAGCUAGUUGAAUAG